rnacentral:lncRNA from 1 species
GGAAUUCCCUAAACAGAACACCAUGAUGUGAAAGUUGGCUCCCAAAGGCCAACUUGGCUACAAAGAGAGACUCUCUUUCUCUACUCAAGGAGGUGUUUCUCAUAGUCUGAUCCAAUGAAUACCUGCUUAGUAACUGUCACUGUUGAAGAAGUAGAUUCAUGAGUCUUAUCCCAGGCCUAAUGAAUCAGAAUAUCUGGAAUGUGUGGGAAGCUGACUCAAGCAUAUGCAUCUUUUAAAAACUCAGAUUGUUCUUCUGCCCCGAAAUCUUGAGAACCACUGACUUAUGUGGUCAGAAGUGAUCGACUCCCUGGGCUGGGAAGCUCCAAUUUUCUCCUCCAGAUUUCCUGUGUCGCCCUCUCCUCCCUGUCCUCUGCCCCAUUAGGGAGGAUGCAUGGAUUCCUUCAGCAAGCUCUUUGUCCUUCGGUUUCCAGUGAAAAGGCUGGCAUAGAAGCUGUCUGAAUCUAUGAAAUCAAAAAAGGAUCAAAGUAGAGACACAAAUUCCUCUGAACUUGAAAUUGAAAUGAGUGUGUUGCCAGCAUCUAUUCAUCCGCCUAAAACCAAGUAAAUCAUUUCAGAAGAAGUUUUCAGCAGUCUAUCAAAGUGACAAGAGUGGUGAGGUAGUAAAGUAGAAACGCAUUGACAACUUUAUUCCUAUUGACUGGAUAAAUAAUCUUCAUGACUCAAAGUGAUGAAACGCAUCAGAAAUAGAAGCAAAAUGUUCACGUUUCAGUCCGUGAGUAGGGCUUGAAUCCCACAGGAGGAAUUAAGAAAAAGAAGCGAACACUCGGAGGAUAACAUCGCAAUAUUACUUAGCCAUUAUUCUUUACAGUGUUAGGCCCCUUCCAGAGAUGUUUGACUGAUUUGUUGCUUGUCCACGUAGAUGCGUGAAUACACUAAAUAGUCAUCAAAUAUGGGUCAAGUAGUGUGCUGGUUGUUUUACGUAUGUUCUCCUUUAAUUUACCCAACAAUAUUGUGACAUAUCAUCAUUAUUUUAAGAAUGAGAAAGCUUAAAGUUAAUAGAGAUUAAAAAAUAAUUUUCCAACUCUCUAUAAUGAGCAGGUAGUAAGAUCAGAAUUCAUAUCUUCAUCUGUCAAAACCAAAGCCCAUAUUCUAAAUCACUUACAGUGAGUAAAAGGGGCUUCUUAAAACUUUAUAUGUAAGAAUGUAAUCUUAAAUGAGAAAACAAACUAGCUUUUAAACUAUGUGCUGUGACUUUUCUGACACAAUGUGUUUAUAAUUUUUUUCCACUUGACAAAAAAAGAACCACAUAUUAGACUAAUUGUGCUUAGGGUACAGAAUAUGAGCAUGUUUUGACUUAAAAUGUAAAAUAAAUAAUGAACUAAUAGUAGACACCCCAACCUGAUCAUAGAAAACUUUUGUUUUUAAUUUCUCUUGGUAGUCAGUCUUUGUGAAUGUGGAUUUAAGCCACCAAAUCCUUUACUAUGUAUUACUAAAACAUAAGGCAAGGAGAAAGCAUUCCCAUUUCUGAUGUAGCAGCCUCGGAUAAAAGAGGCUAGUGAGAGGCCUUAAUGUGAGUGUUCCAUAAUCUUUUGUGCCAUGAAUCCCUCUGUAGUCUGAAGAAGCUUUGGAACUCUUCUCAGAAUGAUGUUUUUAAAUGAAUAAAAUAAUAUACAUAGAAUUCCCAAGGAAACCAAUUGUAUUGAAAUGUAGUCAUCAAGAGUUUAUUUUAAUGUAAUACAGUAAUAUAUGACCUUCUCUAUUAAUGUGUUAAGUAACAACAUCUGUGGUAGGUAUAAUAACUGUUUGCAUUUGAAGUAGGGGUGAAUGCAAAAUGUAUUGCAAGAUCUGCAAUAAGUGUAAUGAGAUAUGAAAAAAAUAUGUGAUUUCUCUUGGUGAGAAAGUUGCAUGUACUGCUAGUAACCAUGUGACAUGGUACCUACCUUCAUAUUUGGAGGUAAUGAGAAUUUUGUUCUUAGAGUUCAAUAAAAAUGAAUAUGUACUUUUUUCCUGCCCAAGUUCACCCAGGGGUUUAAAGGAUUUUGUAUUAGAACGUCUUUUCUAAAGAAUAAGAGCUGGAGGUAACAGGGAGAAGGACCGUAGAAAUUUGAGACCUGGUCAGAGACUGGGGCUACUGUGACACAUAUUUUGCUUGUGCAAUUGCUUUUGAAAGUUACUGUAUUUUGGGGGAAAAGAAUAAAAGGUGUUUAGAAGAAAAUGCUUGGCUACUUUGAUAUUUUAAUAUUUUCCCUAUAACAACAAAAAAAUUAGGCCAUUCUCCCUUUAAGUGCUUGAUAUGCACAAUACCAAAACUGGUAUUGUAAAACUGGCAGAGAUUUACAAGAAAUUUUCUAUCCCACUGGCCAAAAAAUAAUCCUAGCAAUAUGGUGUAACCGGUAUAAAAGAAGAAUAGAUGAGUCAAAAAUAAAAAUAAAUAAGUGAGUAAAUAAGUGGGAGAGAGGGAAAAACUCUGCAUUACAUAAAAUGCCAACUAAUAACGUAGGAAGAAAGAAUGAUACAGUUAAAAAACCACCACUUUGCAAUCAACGUAUUAAUAAUUGAUUCAUGCAAGAAUCAUCAGUGGAUGAAUAGAAAAGAAAAUCUUUACUGUCUCAUAAAUUACUUAUCAAUUACAAAGAGUUAAAGAUAGUAACUUUAUCAUAUUAAAAUUUGAAGGAUGCCACCAUAGCCAACAUCACCAAUAAUGGAACAAACUGAUAUUGUACACCUCGUAAUGUGAUACAAUUAGGACUAAUUGUAAAACAUCAUAAAGAUCCAAAUUGAGGGGCAUUUAUACAAACAACUGGUCUUUACUUUUGUUUUUCUUCUUUCCCUCUUCCUUCCCUCUUUUUUCCACCCUCAAUGUUGAAUCCUAAGAUGAGAGUUACUUUCUUCAAAGCAAAUUAAAAGUAGUAUGCCAUUUCCAUCUGACUCUUAUUUUAUACACUAAACAAGACUAGUAUGAUUUGAAACAAAGAAACUUCUUUGUAUGAGAAACAGCGCUUGGAAAUUUAAAAAUGAAAGCUGAG